rnacentral:rRNA from 1 species
CGGCGGACGGGUGAGUAACACGUGGGUAACCUGCCCAUAAGACUGGGAUAACUCCGGGAAACCGGGGCUAAUACCGGAUAACAUUUUGAACCGCAUGGUUCGAAAUUGAAAGGCGGCUUCGGCUGUCACUUAUGGAUGGACCCGCGUCGCAUUAGCUAGUUGGUGAGGUAACGGCUCACCAAGGCAACGAUGCGUAGCCGACCUGAGAGGGUGAUCGGCCGCACUGGGACUGAGACACGGCCCAGACUCCUACGGGAGGCAGCAGGG